UCUUACUAACAGACAAGCGUGAUUACAAAACACAAGUUUGCACCGCUCUGAUUUCUUAAGUGAUGAAAAUUGGGCUUUUGUUGCAGUUUUGUUUGUGUGCAGGGAAUAUGAAUCUCUCAGCAGCAGGAGGCUGAGGAUGUUUUUUCUGUUGCGUGCAAAUGAAAAAUGUGCCACUAUUUACUUCUCCAUUCAGCUGGAGUUUGUCUCACACUGUCUACCCUAUGAUUUGCUUCUUUGCAUUGUCUUGUUGCAUCAACCCUUUGAACCCAAAUGAAGGAUACAAACACAGUACUGCAAGGAAAAAUUUACUGCCAAGACUAUAAUGAUGAGUCAUGAACGAUAUACAUGGUUUUUCUUUAGCAGUUGUGUUUUGUUUAUUAGGAAUAUCAGACUCCCAUUUGUCUCUGGUCAGGAAUGGUCAGGAGAUGUAUUUAACCUGCUAACUCCUUCGUUAGCUCUUCGGUGUUGUCGUCAUGUCUGCAGGAGAGGAGGAACUUGCUGUGCAGAGAUUUUGUCCCUCAUUAAUCUCAGCUUCCUCAGCAGGAUCUCUGUUGGUGAGAUCUUCUGAAUUUCUUGAGAGACCCGUCCCCAUUUCACAGGUGUGAGAACUGUAUCACGGUCUGUGUGGAAAAGUCCUCUUUCGUUAAGUAGUGAUGAAGUUAAUUAAACACAAAGAAUCUCUGGAUAAGAAGGCUUAGCAUCUACAUGGUGUAGCGUGCUGGCUGAGAAGAAGGAGGAAUAAGUCUGGAUUGGCAGGGGUUCAGACUACGAUUGAGUUAUAGGCAUAUGUAGUUAGUGAUCCAAGACAUGUUGUCAAACAGUGUCUGGGCAUACUCCACCAGACUCCAGAGCAGCUGGUUGUGCCAACCCAGGAGGGUUCCUUGGCUAGAGACGGCUUUUUGAGACUGUGGCUGCAGUCGAAUAGUCCAAAAAAUUACCUCCUAUGUCUUUUUGUAAUCACUUUUCCUUGGACUUGAUGGAAAACGUCAUGAGGUCCAGAAAAGAUGUGAGGGGAGACUUGGAGCACUGAGGUGAACUGUAGCAAAAACCUGACUGUACCUCUAAUAUAGUGCUUAAUACUCUGAUGUCAGCUGUCUAUCAUAUUUAAACUACAAUGACCCUAAAAUGGGCUACAAGAAGUGCAUUCUUAGCAUGUUGUUUCAUGCAGGCUACACAGCAUCGCCAUUAUGGACAAGCCUCGGGGGUCCAGGCUUGCUCGAUAAAGUCACUGUGCCCUCUCAGCUGAAUUCUACUGAUAAACUUUGACUCUAAUUCAUGCAAAAUGAUUAUGAAAACCUUAAACACCCACUUUAAGUUAUUGUAGUGCAAACUCAGUUUAAUUAUUCGGUUCAGAGUAGUUUAGUGCUUCUGCAGAAAUCGUGGUGACCAGCAUGACUGAGAAUAACACUGAGUGGAUAGGCCUAUGCACAUCAGACUUUGGGUCGCACUCUUCAUGUCUCUUUGAAACUAAAAAGAGGUCAUACGUCAUCUUGUGCAGCUAGUUUCAAAACAAAUGGAAAUGUGUUGAGGAGAUUGUGUGCUCACAGUAAGCUGUCCUUGUGUGUGUGGUGAGUUCAUUGAUCCACUUCUGCACCUGGAGAAAACAUCUCUCCUGAGCCAUCUCUGUCUCCUGCUUUGCCCCUAAAAUAUCAAACAGGUAUUUUUGUACUUUUCUAAGUGUGGCUUUCUUCUUCUAUGGUGGCAAUUAUGAAUAUGUUGUGUGAGCGUAGAAUAGCAAAGUGAGUUGAGCUGAAUGCUCCACUGGCAAAGUUGGUUUCCCGUUCAGGUCAGUUCAUGUGCUCUGCUGCCGACCCUGAGGCUACAUAAAUGGAAACAUGCUGGUAAAGAAUUUCACUUCAUAACUAAGGCUGGAAUUUGAAAGAAAAAUGGAAAACCUUUUAAAGUGAAAUUUGUUUUUAAUUUGUUGUUCAUAUUUUAUCUUCUGUGAAGAUAUGAUCCAGUGCACUAAAUGUAUUUAAGACUAGACAUUUUUGACUUUCAAGAUUAAACUACUAUUUAAAAUACUCUUUUAUUUUCCUAUCCUUGACCCUAUCCUUCGUAUGCCUACAAAAUUCAUCCAGCUCUUAUUUUGGCUGCCAUACAGAUACCUUUAGGUUGUUUCACUCUGUUAAAAGAUUUCCUAAGAAAGCUGGAGCUUUGAAGAUGCAGCCUGUUUCUGUUGAGUCUACUUUGGCCAGAUUAUGCCACAAUUAACUGGCUGAAGCACAGGACAGAAAGGAAUUAGCACCUUUACAAUGUUUUGCUGACGAGAAAAUGGAAGACAGGUGUGAAGGCUAAUGAGCAAUCAGGAGUCCAGGUUGAGGCGAGGACAUAAACAUAGAGACGAAGCAAAACAGUAAACACAGGAAAAGGAACAAGAGCUGAAAUGAGCACACACACAGAGAGACAGGGUUUCCUUCCAGAGGAUCCAAAGUGGACUCGGAUGAAGCUCGGUCCACCAGGUGUGUACGUGGGAGGUGUUUGUGUGUGUGUUAGAGACUCCUCGUACACCCUGCUCCUGCAGCUCUUCUUACAGACUGAUCUGACAAAAGGAUCCAGCAACGUUUUAAAGUGAGCCCAUCAUCUCUGACACGCACUAAAAAAGGCUCAACAGGAUUACCUGAGGGGGGUCAAGGGCCACCCCAAGAAGAUGCCUGAUUGGCUGAAACUUCCAGCCAAUUGGAGGCACCGUAAUUAAAGACAGAAAAACAGAGACGGUGGGAGAGCUCGGAGUAAAGAUGAAGAUGUGGAGUACUGAGUGAAAAGAUUAAAUCUCAAGUUGUUAAUUUAAGCUACUUCACGGCUGAUUGUUUAAUUAUAUUAAAUGUAAGAAAUCAUGUUUCAGAGAUGCAACAAUAACUCAUGUAAAGUAAAAUAAAGACCACAGAGGAGGCAGAGGAAAGACACAGGGCUGUAAAAUAAAGGGGCGUUGAGGUGCCACAUAAGCACUUCUCAGAGACCUCAGUGAGGGCCAAACCACAGCUUCUGUCUGAACACACACAACAUGCAAGCACAGCUGGUCCACACAUGAGGAAUUUGAUAAUCUACAGUUUCCUCCUGAGUUUAACUGUGUUCAGGCAUGCCAGCCUCGUAAGACACACACAGGUACAUAAACACACACACAAUGAUUUUAGUGAAAAAACUAUGUAUCUGAGAUAUAUGAUGCAAUAUCACCACAUCUGACUAUAUAAGCCUAUAAUUCAUUCAGGCCAUUCAGUAAUGUUAUCAGGUUUAUGUCCAGAACAGCUGCAGAGGGGUUUUAUUGUUUUUGGUUCUUUUACUGAAAAUAUUUUUGACACUAAAUGUAUUAAAACUUAAAACAAAUAUGAAUUUUAAGAGAAAAUCAGUUUUGAACAUUGUCUUAUUCCAGAAAGAGAAUAUGUUUAACAUUUAUGGAAGUACAAGAUUUUGAACACGGUGCUUAAAUGAUUGAUUGUGAAAUAGCUAAAGACUGAACUACAGUUAGAGGAUUUUGAAUCGCUUGAGGUGUUUUAGUUUGGUCACCAUUAGAGAAAACUGCAAGUCCUUGUGGAACAAAAAGAAGAGGCCUGCUCUUCUUUACAGCGUUGCUUCAAUUCAUUUUGGGUUGAGAUCUGGAGUUUGACUGGACCAUUGCAACACUUCUUGUUUCCAAACAUUCUGAUGGAGAUUUGCUUCUGUGCUUGGGAUCAUUGCCCCAUUGCAUGGCCUAAAUUGGGCCACAUUUUAUCUGUCAGACUUGUGGCCUCACUUCUGACUCUAGAACACUUUGAUAUACAGAGAAUUUCACCAUCAGUCUAAUGGGUUUAAGUUGUCCAGGUCCUUUGCCUGCAAAACAAGCCCAAAUCAUCAGCCCUCAACCAAAGUGCUUAACAGCUGGUAUGAGGUGUUAGUGCAUAACGUCCAAACAUCUCCAAUAUAGUUUUGCCUGUCCAAACAGCAUUGUUCCAGACUUUAAGGUUUGUUCCACUGAACUUUUGCAAACCUAAGCUGUCCUGCCAUAAACGAUACUUGUUCAGUCUUUAUCUAUCUGCACUGUCAUGAAGUUUAACAUUUAAAAUUCUAACCUGCGUAGUCUGAGAUGAAGCUCUUGGGUUUCUCUGAGCAUUGCAUGGUCCAUGGGAUGAAUCUGCUGGAAUGUGCAGUCCUGGGAAGAUUUUGACACUGACACACACCUGAAUGCCAAAUUUCUGAUUUAUAGAUGUGGUAAAGUGAUAAGUGAUUAAUAAAGUGCAUCUGAUUAGCAGCACUUGGAUGCUUAGUACCCUCUUAAUUCUUAAAGCUGUAAGGAUCAAGCUAGUUUUUCGCAGGACUACAUAGAGCCCAACUGGUAAUGUAACUGCUCAUUGCAAAUGUUAUUUUAUUGGCGGUAUCACCUGUGUAAUUGUCAUUUUACAAUACAACACUAAACCUUUCACAUGCAUUUACUGUAUCUCUCAUUUAUGCAGAAGAGCUUUCUUUUAGUACCCUGUUUGCUGUUUGACCUCAUUGGUUUUAAUAAGACGUUAAAUUCUAAAAUGUUUCCCGUAGCAGCUUUUCCACUUGAUGACCUGCUGUAGUCUGGAACUUUCCAUAAUUCGAGGCCUAUACUAUGACCAGAUUCUUUUGUCAAAAUCUGCCUUUAGUAAAGUGAAAUUAAACCUUUUAUGAAGCAUUAGGUAAAUACUCUUGACAGCAUGCUACUUGUAAAUUAUAACAUACAAACUUCAUCAUUUUCUUUAUCCUGUACAGAAUGUAAAUCUUUCCAUCCACCUGCUUUUAAAGCCUCACCACAGAUUUUCAGUUGCAUUAAGAUUUGGAGUUUUCCUGGCCAUGAAUCCAAACUCUGAUCUCGUGCAAUUAAGUUAUUGCUUUUGUCUUGAGACAUCUUGCUCAAUCAUGGUGGAAAAUUCACAAAUUGUCACCAAAGUACUUAGAAGAAGUUGGCCUUUGAGGUUUUAGUAUAGUUGGUCUUUUUUCCAUUUUCUCUGUUUAUAGUACUUUGCUGUUCCUGCAUAGUCAUACCUUAAUUAUUGCACACUGGCUUUUUAUUUCUUUCAUCUUUAUUUGUUCUGGGGUUUUUUGUUUUUUUUUAGCAUUUCCACAUUUUUCCAGCCCUAUUCCUGUCCCAUCAUGCUCCCGCUGAUCAUUGAGUGAUCACGUUAACACUGUAUUUCGUAUGUAAUUACGUCUGCUAACAGGUGGUUCUCAGAAGAAACAGGCCUACAAUCCAGGCAGGAGCAGAUUCAAACAAGACGACACCAAAACCAUACUCAUAAUUUUCUCUUCAGCUGGAAUGUAAGGGAUUCUCAGAAUUCAGACACCUGGUUCACCACCACUUUUUUUGUAAAAACAAAAGGGUUUUAUUUCAAUAUUGGGCUGAGUGAUUUACACAAGGGAAGCUGUACAAAUAAGAGACUUGUAGAGAGAAUGGGGCAAUUUCUUCAUUCCUUUUAUGUACAUGUUCAGCAGCUCAAACAGGUGUCAUCACUGCAGGUCAUCGUCAUCAAACAGAUCCUCAAAAUC